rnacentral:rRNA from 1 species
UACGUAGGGUGCAAGCGUUGUCCGGAAUUAUUGGGCGUAAAGAGCUCGUAGGCGGUUUGUUGCGUCGGCUGUGAAAUCCCGAGGCUCAACCUCGGGUCUGCAGUCGAUACGAGCAAACUAGAGUGUUGCAGGGGAGACUGGAAUUCCUGGUGUAGCGGUAAAAUGCGCAGAUAUCAGGAGGAACACCGGUGGCGAAGGCGGGUCUCUGGGCCGAUACUGACGCUGAGGAGCGAAAGCGUGGGGAGCGAACAGG